UAGGAUUUCGCUGCCUUUUCCGAACGCGA
rnacentral:piRNA from 1 species